rnacentral:rRNA from 1 species
GACGAACGCUGGCGGCGUGCUUAACACAUGCAAGUCGAACGGAAAGGCCCUGCUUUUGUGGGGUGCUCGAGUGGCGAACGGGUGAGUAACACGUGAGUAACCUGCCCUUGACUUUGGGAUAACUUCAGGAAACUGGGGCUAAUACCGGAUAGGAGCUCCUGCUGCAUGGUGGGGGUUGGAAAGUUUCGGCGGUUGGGGAUGGACUCGCGGCUUAUCAGCUUGUUGGUGGGGUAGUGGCUUACCAAGGCUUUGACGGGUAGCCGGCCUGAGAGGGUGGCCGGCCACAUUGGGACUGAGAGACGGCCCAGACUCCUACGGGAGGCAGCAGUGGGGAAUAUUGCACAAUGGGCGGAAGCCUGAUGCAGCAACGCCGCGUGCGGGAUGACGGCCUUCGGGUUGUAAACCGCUUUCGCAUGUGACGAAGCGUGAGUGACGGUAAUGGGUAAAGAAGCACCGGCUAACUACGUG